rnacentral:rRNA from 2 species
UGUCGUCAGCUCGUGUUGUGAAAUGUUGGGUUAAGUCCCGCAACGAGCGCAACCCUUAUCCUUUGUUGCCAGCGGUCCGGCCGGGAACUCAAAGGAGACUGCCAGUGAUAAACUGGAGGAAGGUGGGGAUGACGUCAAGUCAUCAUGGCCCUUACGACCAGGGCUACACACGUGCUACAAUGGCGCAUACAAAGAGAAGCGACCUCGCGAGAGCAAGCGGACCUCAUAAAGUGCGUCGUAGUCCGGAUUGGAGUCUGCAACUCGACUCCAUGAAGUCGGAAUCGCUAGUAAUCGUGGAUCAGAAUGCCACGGUGAAUACGUUCCCGGGCCUUGUACACACCGCCCGUCACACCAUGGGAGUGGGUUGCAAAAGAAGUAGGUAGCUUAACCUUCGGGAGGGCGCUUACCACUUUGUGAU